rnacentral:rRNA from 1 species
CAAGACAACUUUACGGAGUUGACGAUUGACGGAGCGAAGCGACGUCAAAGCGUUCAUUAAAGUCGAGUUGGCUUAGGGAUACGUUCGUUGGGUAGGGGAGCGUUCUGUAAGCCUGUGAAGGUGUGUCGUGAGGCAUGCUGGAGGUAUCAGAAGUGCGAAUGCUGACAUAAGUAACGAUAAAGCGGGUGAAAAGCCCGCUCGCCGGAAGACCAAGGGUUCCUGUCCAACGUUAAUCGGGGCAGGGUGAGUCGACCCCUAAGGCGAGGCCGAAAGGCGUAGUCGAUGGGAAACGGGUUAAUAUUCCCGUACUUGGUGUUACUGCGAAGGGGGGACGGAGAAGGCUAUGUUGGCCGGGCGACGGUUGUCCCGGUUUAAGCGUGUAGGUGUGUGUUCCAGGUAAAUCCGGUUCACUUUAACACUGAGGCGUGACGACGAGGCACUACGGUGCUGAAGCAACAAAUGCCCUGCUUCCAGGAAAAGCCUCUAAGCAUCAGGUAACACGAAAUCGUACCCCAAACCGACACAGGUGGUCAGGUAGAGAAUACCAAGGCGCUUGAGAGAACUCGGGUGAAGGAACUAGGCAAAAUGGUGCCGUAACUUCGGGAGAAGGCACGCUGACAC